UAAUGACGGAGUUCAAAAUAUUGUUGAUCAGAUGUUUAUGAAGAACAGUCAGAGUUCAUUUUGCUUUAAGUUAAAGGUUUCCAGAUAAAAUACAAAGUAAGGAAAAUUUGAAUCCUAAUACUAUGGAAAAAGAUCCAGAUUUAUCAUCAUUUAGCAGUUUGUACAAAAAGUUAAUUAGUUGUUAAGUCAGAUAAGAAUAGUCUCCACGAAUUUUAAAAUUUAUAUGCGCAUCACUGCAGUGUCAGAUACAAUGGUGCAAUUACCACAAAAAUAGCGAGAAGAUGGUGAAGAAGAAGAUAAUGAAUUUCCAAAAAAACUAAAGUUGAUGGAAUAAAUUUCCUGGUUGCCAUUAACACAAAGUCCAAUUGUCUAAAAAUGUAAUUUGUGAUAAAGUAUAACAUUUUUUUUUAACAUUUAUUUAUUUCCAUGUAUUUUUCUUUAUUUGUGAUCCAUGUCUUCUGACUUUAGAUAAUUUCUAAUUAUAUCUACAAUAUUUAUUAACUUUAUGAAUAUAUAAAUUUUAUUUUAUGGCCUAUGAGAAACAAUUUGAAUCUGUUUAAUACAAAUAAAUUCAGGUGGAAAUGUUACCACUCCGGGGACAGGCUGCUCUGACAAGCACAUAGCCUGAUUUCUUUGAUGUUUUUGGAGCGAUUAAAAAAGAUUUAAAGCAAUCAAUGUUAUAUGUAAUAUAUAGAUAACGAUUUUGUAUUAUUUAUAUAUGAAAUACUUUCAUAACUUUUUGUUUAUAGCAUUCACUGCUUUUUUUACUGUUUUAUUUAACAGUAGAAAAAUUUUUAUAAAAUACCGUAUGAAGUAUGAAAGAUGCGAAUUCGCGUCUCAGGCCUCAGAGUGUUAAUGUAUGUGAUAUUAUUAAUAUAUUUGAGAAUUUAAUAAUGUAGUAUGAGAAUUAUUAAUAUAUUUGAAUAAAAAUGCUAAAAAAAGAAACCACGUCAUAAAAAAGGAGCAAAAUUGCACCGUUUGUUUAAAUGGAAUGUUUUAAAUGUACAAUAAACAUAAAUAUGUAUAGAACAUUAAACAUAAACUAUAGAAUGUUUUAUUUA